rnacentral:hammerhead_ribozyme from 1 species
GCAUUGCUGAAGAAUCCCAGAAUAGAACGAAACAGCCGUCCAAUGC